UACUACCGAAGCUACGGCAUCAGUAAUGAUGGGUAGGGGAGCUUCCCAUACGGGUUGAAGCAUGACCGUAAGGACAUGUGGACAGUAUGGGAGUGAGAAUGUUGGCAUGAGUAGCGAGAUGUGGGUGAGAAUCCCACAGGCCGUAAACCCAAGGUUUCCAGGGGAAGGUUCGUCCGCCCUGGGUUAGUCGGGACCUAAGCUGAGGCCGAAAGGCGUAGGUGAUGGACAACAGGUUGAUAUUCCUGUACUACCGAUAACCGUUUGAGAGAAGGGAUGACACAGUAGGAUAAGCUAAGCACACUGUUGGUUAUGUGUGCCCAAGCAUUGAGGCAGUCAAAGUAGGUAAAUCCGCUUUGAUAAUGCUGGGAUGUGAUGGGGAGCGAAAUUUAGUAGCGAAGUAGCUGAUUUCACACUGUCAAGAAAAGUCUCUAUCGAGGUUAAAGGUACCCGUACCGCAAACCGACACAGGUG
rnacentral:rRNA from 1 species